rnacentral:rRNA from 1 species
CCUACGGGUGGCAGCAGUGAGGAAUAUUGGUCAAUGGGCGCGAGCCUGAACCAGCCAAGUAGCGUGAAGGAUGACUGCCCUACGGGUUGUAAACUUCUUUUAUAAAGGAAUAAAGUGAGGCACGUGUGCCUUUUUGUAUGUACUUUAUGAAUAAGGAUCGGCUAACUCCGUGCCAGCAGCCGCGGUAAUACGGAGGAUCCGAGCGUUAUCCGGAUUUAUUGGGUUUAAAGGGAGCGUAGAUGGGUUGUUAAGUCAGUUGUGAAAUCCCUCGGCUUAACUGAGGAACUGCAACUAAAACUACUUCCGUUGAGUACUGGAGAGGAAAGUGGAAUUCCUAGUGUAGCGGUGAGAUCCGUAGAUAUCUGGAGGAACAUCAGUGGCGAAGGCGACUAUCUGGCACAUAACUGACGCUGAGGAGCGAAAGCGUGGGUAGCAAACAGGAUUAGAUACCCCAGUAGUC